rnacentral:rRNA from 1 species
GACGAACGCUGGCGGCGUGCUUAACACAUGCAAGUCGAGCGGUAAGGCCCUUUCGGGGGUACACGAGCGGCGAACGGGUGAGUAACACGUGGGUGACCUGCCCUCAGCUCUGGGAUAAGCCUGGGAAACCGGGUCUAAUACCGGAUAUGACUCCAUGACGCAUGUUGUGGGGUGGAAAGCCUUGUGCGGCUGAGGAUGGGCCCGCGGCCUAUCAGCUUGUUGGUGGGGUGAUGGCCUACCAAGGCGACGACGGGUAGCCGGCCUGAGAGGACGACAGCCACACUGGGACUGAGACACGGCCCAGACUCCUACGGGAGGCAGCAGUGGGGAAUAUUGGACAAUGGGCGCAAGCCUGAUCCAGCGAUGCCGCGUGUGUGAAGAAGGCCUGCGGGUUGU